rnacentral:rRNA from 1 species
GAUGAACGCUAGCGGCAGGCUUAACACAUGCAAGUCGAGGGGUAACAGGAAAAGCUUGCUUUUUUGCUGACGACCGGCGCACGGGUGCGUAACGCGUAUAGAACUUACCUUUUACAGAGGGAUAGCCUUUAGAAAUGAAGAUUAAUACCUCAUAGUAUUGAGAAUUGGCAUCAAUUUUUAAUUAAAGAUUUAUCGGUAAAAGAUAGCUAUGCGUCCUAUUAGUUAGAUGGUAAGGUAACGGCUUACCAUGGCGAUGAUAGGUAGGGGUCCUGAGAGGGAGAUCCCCCACACUGGUACUGAGACACGGACCAGACUCCUACGGGAGGCAGCAGUGGGAAUUUCCGCAAUGGGCGAAAGCCUG